rnacentral:rRNA from 1 species
UACAGAGGUCCCAAGCGUUGUUCGGAAUUACUGGGCGUAAAGCGUGCGUAGGCGGCGGGGUAAGUCGGGUGUGAAAUCUCAGGGCUCAACCCUGAAAUUGCAUUCGAUACUACUUUGCUUGAGCUCUGAAGAGGAGGUUGGAAUUCUCGGUGUAGCAGUGAAAUGCGUAGAUAUCGAGAGGAACACCAGUGGCGAAGGCGAGUCCCUGGACAAAACCUGACACUGAGGCACGAAAGCUAGGGGAGCAAACAGG